rnacentral:tRNA from 1 species
CAGUAAAAUGCCUGAAAAAAAGGAUUAUCUUGAUAGGAUAAAUAAUGUAAAUUCAAUUACUUUUACU